GGAGUCUGCAACCCGACUCCGUGAAGCUGGAUUCGCUAGUAAUCGCGCAUCAGCCAUGGCGCGGUGAAUACGUUCCCGGGCCUUGUACACACCGCCCGUCAAGCCAUGGGAGCCGGGGGUGCUUGAAGUGCGUCGCCGCAAGGCGCGCCCUAGAGCAAAACCGGUGACUGGGGCUAAGUCGUAACAAGGUAUC
rnacentral:rRNA from 1 species